rfam:Salmo salar isolate Sally breed double haploid chromosome ssa18, whole genome shotgun sequence.
UAUGCACUCUACUGUAAGUCGCUCUGGAUAAGAGCAUCUGCUAAAUGACUAAAU